GUGAAUUAGUUGAUAACUAAAAACUCAAGUAAAAUUAAAUCAAGAUAAAAAUUGCACAACCAAAUAAAAGAAGAAAAUCAAACUCAGAUAACACAGAUGAUUUAUCCUGGUUCGGCCUUUCUGCCUACUCCAGUCCGGUUCUUCUUCUCCUCGAGGUACCGAUUUCACUAUCACUUGGCCUUUUGAACAGGGCAAGACCAAAGCCGCUUACAAUCACACAAGACUUCUUUUACAACCUCUCAAGAAGCUCA
rnacentral:lncRNA from 1 species